rnacentral:rRNA from 1 species
CUGGCUCAGAUUGAACGCUGGCGGCAGGCCUAACACAUGCAAGUCGAGCGGAUGAGUGGAGCUUGCUCCAUGAUUCAGCGGCGGACGGGUGAGUAAUGCCUAGGAAUCUGCCUGGUAGUGGGGGACAACGUUUCGAAAGGAACGCUAAUACCGCAUACGUCCUACGGGAGAAAGCAGGGGACCUUCGGGCCUUGCGCUAUCAGAUGAGCCUAGGUCGGAUUAGCUAGUAGGUGAGGUAAUGGCUCACCUAGGCGACGAUCCGUAACUGGUCUGAGAGGAUGAUCAGUCACACUGGAACUGAGACACGGUCCAGACUCCUACGGGAGGCAGCAGUGGGGAAUAUUGGACAAUGGGCGAAAGCCUGAUCCAGCCAUGCCGCGUGUGUGAAGAAGGUCUUCGGAUUGUAAAGCACUUUAAGUUGGGAGGAAGGGCAGUAAGUUAAUACCUUGCUGUUUUGACGUUACCAACAGAAUAAGCACCGGCUAACUUCGUGCCAGCAGCCGCGGUAAUACGAAGGGUGCAAGCGUUAAUCGGAAUUACUGGGCGUAAAGCGCGCGUAGGUGGUUCAGCAAGUUGGAGGUGAAAUCCCCGGGCUCAACCUGGGAACUGCCUCCAAAACUACUGAGCUAGAGUACGGUAGAGGGUAGUGGAAUUUCCUGUUGUAGCGGGUGAAAUGCGUAGAUAUAGGAAGGAACCCCAAUGGGCGAAGGCGACUACCCGGGACUGAUUCUGACACUGAAGUGCGAAAGCGUGGGGAGCAAACAGGAUUAGAUACCCUGGUAGUCCAGGCCGAAACGAUGUCGACUACCGUUGGGAUCCUUGAGAUCUAAUGGCGCAAGUAACGCAUUAAGUUGAACGGCGGGG